CCAUGCCAGCCGGGGCGUCAGCGGUGCCUUGUACCUGCAAUCCGCUAUAGCAGGGGUGGUUUCCUUUUAUAAGGUUUUGGCUCGUGUGGUCCGCUUUGCAGUCGAAUUGUCAAUGACGAGUGGGUCUUGCGCAAUCGGAUGCUGUGAACCAUGUCAGGUGGGGAACCAAGCAGCAUUAAGCAGAAGUUCCGGUGUGUUGCAAGGGUGCCUGCUCUGAGGCGGUUUUCUGCAGAAACGCACACGGGCGGAAUCGAGUUUUGGGUGUAUGG
rnacentral:SRP_RNA from 1 species